GACGAACGCUGGCGGCGUGCCUAAUACAUGCAAGUAGAACGGAGUUGAGAACGGGUGAGUAACGCGUAGGUAACUGCCUGGUAGCGGGGGAUGACUAUUGGACACGAUAGCUAAUACCGCAUACUAACAGAUGGACCUGCGUUGUAUUAGCUAGUUGGUGGGGUAACGGCUUACCAAGGCGACGCUACAUAGCCGACCUGAGAGGGUGAUCGGCCACACUGGGACGGAGACACGGCCCAGACUCCUACGGGAGGCAGCAGUAGGGAAUCUGCGGCAAUGGACGGAAGUCUGACCGAGCAACGCCGCGUGAGUGAAGAAGGUUUUCGGAUCGUAAAGCUCUGUUGUAAGAGAAGCGGUAUCUUACCAGAAAGGGACGGCUAACUACGUGCCAGCAGCCGCGGUAAUAC
rnacentral:rRNA from 1 species